rnacentral:misc_RNA from 1 species
UUAAGUUCAGCGGGUAUCCCUACCUGAUCCGAGGUCAAAACUAUGGUUUUCGCUUACUGGAUGCCAGUGACGCGGGUCGAGGCGCGAAUCUGCUGCGCUCGUAGCCCAAAUACACAGGCCGCCAAUGAUUUUAAGGCGAGUCCGCGCCGGAGGCGAGACAACGCCCAACACCAAGCAUAGCUUGAGGGGUGAGAUGACGC